CAGCCUGAACUAUGGGUUGCAAUGAGCAAGACAUUAAUAGGAUGCAACGUGCCGUCUACAUGUUCUACUACUAGUGGCACUGACCAGAAAUGUGAUGGAUCCGAAAGUAAUAUUCCAGAUAACGGACACAAUUGUAAAACAAGUCCGAAUCAAUGACACAGAAAUGGUAUCCUCACGUAUGAUGUGCGACAGAGUAUGAACUGAAAUUAUAGUGAAAAUAGAGUUUGAUAUUUUGAAAACAAUUAUAUUAAAAAGAGUUCAUUU